rnacentral:sRNA from 1 species
GGUGCUCGGCGUACAGCAGACGCUGGAGGAGAUGGACUUCGAGAGGGGCUGCUGAGAGGGGUCACGGGGACAUCUGCUCCCUCCUCCUGCAACACAGCCCAGCCCUGAAGGCCAUCCGGGACCGAAAGGCACGGCUAGCAUGUGACCUGCUGCCUUGCAACAGUGACCUGCGGGACCUGCUAUCCAGCUGAGCCGCCACCCUGUCUCCAGCUGCCUUUAAAGGGUAAGUGGAGAAAGAGUUGAAGGGAAAGUGUUGGGAUUUGGACAUGGAGUUCCUGACCCUGGAGCCUGGCCUAGUGACUGGAGGAGGGGCCCCCAAGAGGCUGUGGCCCGGGAGAAGCUGAAAUUGGAAGAAGAGAAGAAGAAGAAACUUGAAAGAUUUAACAGUACCAGAUUUAAUCUGGAUAACCUGGCUGACUUGGAAAACUUGGUUCAAAGACGGAAAAAGCGACUGAGACACAGAGUCCCCCCCAGGAAACCUGAGCCCCUGGUUAAGCCGCAGCCCCAGGCCCAGGUGGAGCCUGUGGGCCUGGAGAUGUUCCUGAAGGCAGCUGCUGAGAACCAGGAGUACCUGAUUGACAAGUACCUGACAGACAGAGGGGACCCCAAUGCCCAUGACAAGCUCCACCGCACCGCCUUGCACUGGGCCUGUCUGAAGGGUCACAGCCAGCUGGUGAACAAGCUGCUGGUGGCAGGUGCCACAGUGGACGCGCGAGACUUGCUGGACAGGACACCUGUGUUCUGGGCCUGCCGCGGAGGACAUCUGGACAUCCUCAAACAGCUGCUUAACCAGGGAGCCCGGGUCAAUGCCCGGGACAAGAUCGGGAGCACCCCCCUGCACGUGGCAGUGCGCACCC